CAAAAACAUAGCUGUGUGAAAUAAUACACGGUGUUUUCUGCUCAAUGAAUUUUAAAUAGCCGCAGUACCCUGACUGUGCUAAGGUAGCGCAAUCAAUUGACUUUUAAAUGAAGUCCGGUAUGAAAGAAAUUAUGGGGGGCUACUUUAUCAUUUACCAUUAAAGAAUUUAUUUAUGAAGUGCAAAUUCUUCUAUAUAAAUAAUAGACGAGAAGACCCUAGAAAUUUUAAAGAGUAACCUUUUUGUUGGGGCAACAAAGUAGUAUAUAAAUCUACUCUAACGACAAGAAAGAUGUAUUUUGUAAGAUUAAAUUACUCUAGGGAUAACAGCAUAAUUUAUAAUAGUUUGUGACCUCGAUGUUGGAUUAGGGGAUUUACAUUUAGAAGAUAACAGAYACGCUCUGUUCG
rnacentral:rRNA from 1 species